GGAUGGAAACAAGACAGAAGACAGAGUGAGACCAGAGGUAAGGGAAGGAAACAAGAGAGGAUAGGAAGGAAACAAGAGAGGCUAGGAGGAGACAAGGAAGUAGGGAUGGAAUCAAGACAGAAGAUAGAGUGAGACCAGAGGUAGGGAAAGGAAACGAGAGAGGAUAGGAGGAGACAAGAGCAUAGGUAAGGAGACAAGAGAGGAUAGGAAGGAAACAAGAGAGGCUAGGAGGAGACAAGAGCAUAGGGAAGGAAACAAGAGAGGAUAGGAGGAGACAAGGAAGUAGGGAAACAAGAUAGAAGACAGAGUGACCAGAGGUAAGGAAAGGAAACAAGAGAGGAUAGGAGGAGACAAAUGAGUAGGGAAGGAAACAAAGGAAAAGAUAAGGAAACAAGAAGGCAUAGGAGGAGAGAUGGCAGUAUCUUAGGAAACAAGACAGAUAGGAAUGGUUCAAGGAGUCAAGGGAGAAGAGAAGGAAACAAGAGAGGAUUAAAAUGAAAAGGAACCAACAGGAAAGAUAAGGAAUCGAGGACAGGAGGAGACAAGAGAGUAGGGAAGGAAGGAAAAAAGACAGAUAUGAAGGGUUCAAAGAUCAAAGGGGGAAGGAAAGGAAUCAAGACAGAAGAAAAAGGAUGUAAGGAAUCAAUAAAGGAAACAAAAAUGGUGCAAAGUUUAGUGAGGAGAAGUCAAGGGAGCAAAUGAGGAAAGAGGAGACAAGAGGAGAGAGAACAAGAGAGGGGAAAGGAAGCAAGGUAGGAAAAAGGAAACAAGUCAGAAAAAAAAGGGGAGAGAAGGAAACGAGACAAGAGGAAAGGAGGCAAGGAGGGAAGCAGGAUGGGGUUAAAGGAAAAAGGAAAGGUUCAGGACUCUGUGAGAGACUGCGUUAGCGAACAAAGUUCCAGAGUUUCCUCGUCUCCAGAACUUCAUAUCAUUCAGAAUCUCUGGACUCAAAGGGACCAGAACCAAAACCAGGACUGGACGGUCCUGAUCUUCAGGCCCUCAGGCGGCGCCGCAUUAAAAACAGAGCGGACCCGAGCGCCUGCAGCAGGUCAGGACGGGGGCGGAGAUACUCCUAAGUUAAAAUCGUACCAAAUGGUCGCCCAUCUGUGAGCCGAGGAAGAUCGCUCAAAGGUGAUCUGGCUCGGUACCGAAGACUCUGAAUCUAGAUGACCCUCGGUCCGAGUCCUUCACUUCGACCCCGUCACUUUAUUCAGGAUCAGGGCCUGGAGGUCCAUCCAAGUCCAUCCAAUCAUCAAAGUUUUAAAGUAUCCUUAAACCCGGGGGGGAAACCCUGAACGAAGACCCGCUUUAACUCCACAGACGGACAGAGGAGGUGAAAUUAUAAUAAUAAUAAUAAUAAUAAUAAUAAUAAUAAUAAAGUGUUUAUUUAUUUUAAUUCUGUCAGAAAACAAAGUUACAGACUGACUGUAGUUUAUUACCGUAUUCACUCGAGUAGAAGGCCAUCUGUUUUUUCCUGUAAACUGUGUGAACCUCUUAUAUUUGGAGUUUAGACCCUCUGAUAUCGACAACAUUAGAAUUUACAUUAAAAUCAGAGCAGAACCAGAAUAUUCAGGUUUACAGUCAAAUCCACUCAGUCUGUGAGACCGGAGGUUUUCAGGACAGAAACUUUAACGUAUUUUUACAGACUGAUCGUGUCUCUCAGAGUCAGACUGUUAGUUCUGUUGUUCAAUCGGCACAGGCUAAUACUUUGUCGUGUUCUGUUGGCCAAUCAGGGACUAGAGCUACGAUCAGCUGACCGAGGAGAUCCAAUAAGAAGCUGGACCUGAUGUAUGUGGAUCAAAACACUCAAUAAUAAACUGACGUCACUUUUGUGGAUUUAAAGUUCUGAGUCGAGUUUAUCGUAGUUUGGCGAUAUAUCGGAGAAACUUUGACAGUAUUGAUGAACUCUCAAGACGAUUAAGGACUUCUCUGUAGUUUUAUAGUUUUCUAUCUCUGUUUAGGUCUGAGUGUAGAAAUCUAGUCAAAGUUUUCUCCUUGUGUUUAUGAUUAGACAUACAAAUCUAGUUGUAGUUUUCUACGUCUGGUGUAGAAAGCUAGUUGUAGUUUUUUACGUAUGUAAAAAACUACAACUAGCUCAGCAGCAUUGCAUUGUGGGAUAAUAUACUCAAAGUGCAGGAGCUUCAUUGUAGUUUAUUUUCUAUAUUUAAUUGUCCUUAAACUUUACAAAGUAAAUUAUAUUCACUAAAUUGUAAUAAUAAAAUAAAUAAUAAAUUUUAAUUAUAACGCACUUUUACAAGAGCUCAAAAACGCCAUACAAAGAAAAUAAAAAAAUAAAAUAAAAUAAAAAACAAAAAAAAUACAGAAAAUUUCUGGAAAUAAAACCAACAAUGAAAAAGGUUAAAAAAGAUUCAAUAUGAAAAGACAAUAAAAGUUUACAGGUUUCAAAAACAAUUUAAAAAGGUGUUUUUAGGAGUGAUUUGAGAGUACGGUGGUCUGUACAGUCUCCGGUGGGUUUGAUUGUACCGACUAUACUUAAAAAAAAGACGUUUGUUUUUGUUUCUUUGGUGUAAAAUAAAUCAGUCUGAGCUGAUACAGAUCAUUUUAAUCUGAAACCCUGUAAAUGUGACGACACCGAAAACUUGAUUUAAGUUUCUGCCACAAACCUGAAAAAUGAAGAACGAGAGGAAUUUAGAGAAAAGGUGUUAAAGAGUGAAAAUAAUGCAGACGAGAAAUCAGAGUCACUGAUGGUUGGAAUAACGACUUUAAAGAUACGUGAAGGUAAUGAGUCUUUUAAUUUAAUGACCCGUCUGUUCAAAAUGGACUUUCAGGGUCGGCUCUUUUUUCUCUGUUUGAGUGUUUUUAUCUUUACUGUCGGACAAACCUGAAAACACCUGAAAACACCUGAAAACACCUGAAAACACCUGAAAACUCCUGAAAACUCCUGAAAACAUCUUUUUGUUUUUCUCUGUCAGCUGAUCCAGAUCCUGUAAAAACUCUGAACCAAACCUCUGAGUCUGUUCGGACUCAGGUGAGGAUGAAGGUUCCUGUAAGUCCUGACUGACCGACCCGUCACUCAUCGGCCUCUAGAGGGCAGUAGGUGUCCAGGACCUUCGUGUGUGUGUGUGUGUGUGUGUGUGUGUUUGGGCCUCUGCUUUCACACACACAGAGAAACCCUG
rnacentral:lncRNA from 1 species